GACGAACGCUGGCGGCGUGCUUAACACAUGCAAGUCGAACGAAGAGCGAUGGAAGCUUGCUUCUAUCAAUCUUAGUGGCGAACGGGUGAGUAACGCGUAAUCAACCUGCCCUUCAGAGGGGGACAACAGUUGGAAACGACUGCUAAUACCGCAUACGAUCUAACCUCGGCAUCGAGGAUAGAUGAAAGGUGGCCUCUACAUGUAAGCUAUCACUGAAGGAGGGGAUUGCGUCUGAUUAGCUAGUUGGAGGGGUAACGGCCCACCAAGGCGAUGAUCAGUAGCCGGUCUGAGAGGAUGAACGGCCACAUUGGGACUGAGACACGGCCCAGACUCCUACGGGAGGCAGCAGUGGGGAAUCUUCCGCAAUGGACGAAAGUCUGACGGAGCAACGCCGCGUGAGUGAUGACGGCCUUUGGGUUGUAAAGCUCUGUUAAUCGGGACGAAAGGCCUUCUUGCGAAUAGUGAGAAGGAUUGACGGUACCGGAAUAGAAAGCCACGGCUAACUACGUG
rnacentral:rRNA from 1 species